rnacentral:rRNA from 1 species
UAGAGGAAGUAAAAGUCGUAACAAGGUUUCCGUAGGUGAACCUGCGGAAGGAUCAUUAUUGAAAUAAACCUGAUGGGUUGUUGCUGGUUCUUUAUUCAAUGAACAUGUGCACACUUGUCAUCUUUAUAUCUCCACCUGUGCACCUUUUGUAGACCAUUUUCCUGGUCUAUGUUUAUUUCAUAUACCCUAAUGUAUGUUUAUAGAAUGUAAUGUAUGUGGGCCUUUUGUGGCCUAUAAUGCUUUAUACAACUUUCAGCAACGGAUCUCUUGGCUCUCGCAUCGAUGAAGAACGCAGCGAAAUGCGAUAAGUAAUGUGAAUUGCAGAAUUCAGUGAAUCAUCGAAUCUUUGAACGCACCUUGCGCUCCUUGGUAUUCCGAGGAGCAUGCCUGUUUGAGUGUCAUUAAUAUUAUCAACCUCCUUUAGCUUUUGCUUAUUGAGUGUUGGAUGUGGGGGGUUGCUGCUGGUCUCUUUAAAAAGAGGUCAGCUCCCCUAAAAUGCAUUAGCAGAACAAUUUGUUGACUUGUUCAUUGGUGUGAUAAUUAUCUACACUAUUGACAUGAGAUGACAGUUCAGCUUCUAACCAUAGCCUUUUAUUAAUGUGACCUCAAAUCAGGUAGGACUACCCGCUGAACUUAAGCAU